rnacentral:lncRNA from 1 species
GAGAAUUAGGGUUUCCGGAGGGAGAGGAGACGAGAUUGAAAGCGGCUGUGUUUGAUAAUAGGUUAGUUUAAGCGUGUUUGUUUAAUUAACUAGCGUUUUUUCGGUGUUUGAUGAAAAGGGAAAGCCCGCUGCUAAACUACUGUUCAUCCUCGAUUGUGUGUUUAAAAUUUUGGAUUCCGAAUUUGCCCUCCCAAUUUUGUACAUAAAAUUCGGUUCCUCUUAUUGACGGCGAAUUUGUUCUUCAUUCAUCGCCGAUCUGGUAAGCCGUUUUCUCUUCAUUCAUGGCAUACAUUCCGAUGAAGGAACGAUUCUAGUGGUAGCUCUGAAAUUAGGGUUUUAUGUUGAAAAUUUGAAAUAGUAUGAUGUGGGUUAAUUUUUCAAUUCGAUUUCUCUCUGUCGUCUGUAAUGAAACACAAAAGAGUAUGAAAAACGCGUCGACAUUACUGGUAUCGACGGCUUCGUGUGCUCUUCGUUCGCCGGAAGUUUUGUAAAAAAAAACGAUUCUUUUCUUGAAUUGAUGAAAUUUCCCUAUUUUUGCAAUUUCUUGUAUAUUGGGGGUUUUGGGUGUUGGAGGCGACGGGCUGCAGGCAACGAGAGGGUUGAUAUAUUAUAACACCUUAAUUGUUGAAAUACUUUGAGUUGAUUUUGUUGGAGUUGUUGCGAGCUGCAUUUGGGGGGAAGUGGUUUCCAAUGUGUUUAUGCAGAAGGAAUAUGAGAGAAUGGUGAUGGCACUUUGUUUGUAAUAGGAUGAUUUUGUUUGUGAAAAUUAAGAAUUUGUUUUUUUUGGUUAUGUGAAGCUAUGUAUGCUCUGUUUAGAAGCUUAUUUGAUGGGACUGUAUUUUCAAUUCCGGUGGAAAUUGAGUUGGGAAUUUGUUAACUUUGGAAUUAGAAACGAUAGAGCUGAACUAUUGAUGAGAUGUUUGGAUGAGAAUUAAUUGGGUUGUGUAUGGAGAAGGGGGUUGCAUUUUUGAGAGUGUAGGUUGAAGGGCAUAUUUCGUGGGUUUCAGGCUAUUUUUCUGUAAUUCAUUCAUAAUUUGAUUUGGUUUUGCAGUGAAUGAAUCAGCUCAAGAACAUGUGUCGUCUGCUGAGAAACAUAUUCCAGAGGGUGGCGCUAUUACUGAAAAUGGAAAAUUCUAUCGUGCCACUGCUUCAAUGCAGCUUGCACCGUUAUGAUUGAGACACGUGUAAUGUCAAAAAAAAGAAAAAAAGAGGUAACCGUGGUUUGGCUGGCUGCCCGAGGAAAAAAUUGCAGAAAUUUUCACCCGAAGAAGAAAUUGGAUCCCUGUCUGAGAUACGUCGAGAAAUUUUGGCCGAGAGCAACAUUGUUCAACGGCGAAUUUGGCGCUGAAUCCGAAUAUGUUUUCAGAUUCAAGAACGAUGGCGUAUAGAAGAAGUGCCUGAGAGUUUCGGUGAGGCGAUCACUGUUUCGGCGAAGGGCUCUCGAUAUUUGCGCCAGAUUUUUCAACGGGAACAUGAUGGUGAGUCGGAAAAAUAGUUUCUGAAUUAUUGUAUUUUUGUAUUUUGUUCGAAAUGGUGUUUUAUGUUUGAAUUUGUUAUUUUAUAAUGAAUUUGUUUCCAAUAAUUGGUCCUUCUUCGUCUUCUUGAGUGCAUCGCCGUGGUGGAGGUGCCUCUUUCGCCUCUCCUUCUCUCUGCCGACCUCACCUACUCCGAUUUCCUCAAUCCCUCUUUUCUCUCUCUAAAGAUCCAAUUUUGCUCAAGGGUUUUUGAUUGUGUAGCGUUCCAGCCGUUAGCUCGUUAGUAUUUCGAAGGUGCUGAUCUCGGCUUUCGUUUUGAUGCCUCUCUUCGCAAUUUACACUAUGAUGUACUGAAUCGUUGGUCUGGCGGUUUGCUUAUUUUGAUGGUAGUUUGAAUUGAAUAUUGGUUGAUGAUUUUCUGAAACUCGUGUAUAGGUUUAAUGUGUGCUUUUCUAGUCAACGAACAGGAAAUUUCUAUCUUACCUUUAUGGGAAUUCUCUUAUUCAACUUUUUGCAUGUCUUCUUUGCAACAUUAAAGACACUCUUGAAUCCCUUGAAGCGCAGCUGUCUUCUUUGCAGGUUCUAUUUCUGUAACAUUUUCAUUAUUUUAGGUUUUGGUAUAGUGAUUUGGGGGUUUACUAGGUGGACCUUAAUGUGGAUUCUUGGAAGUUUUCAGUUGGUUUUUCGUUUCUUGUAUCAAUUUAGAAACUGGCAAUUCUAGGAUUUUGCGAAUACUAGUAAUCGAGUUUGUUAUUCUUGAAUGGCUAAUUAUAUUUGAAGAAUUAGUUUAAGGGUAUUCUAGAUAGCUCUUGAUCUUGAAAUUUUCGAGAUGGGGUUUUGUUUCUUUGAAUGAAUUAGGAUGCUGGCUAUUCUAUGAUGAUUUACCAAUAGUUGGUUUUGUGAAGGGUUUAAUAUUUUCAUGAAUUAGGUGUAUUUUUGGUGGAAGUAUAAAAUUCAUCCAUUGGUUUGGUACUGACUGGCUUGGUUUUGCUAACCAUAGAUGUUCGUCGUUGAGAUUCUCUGCUUGAUGGUUUUAGAGGUUUUGUAACUGUUUAUUCGUUUUCCAUUUUCCCAUAUCCUUCAUCACAUGAAAAGUUUAGGAACAUGUGAGAUAUCUCAUAAAAGGUGUUGCAGUCAUUAACUUGCAUUAAGUGAAGUUGGGACUUGGGAAGAUACUCGCGUCACAUAUAUGAGACGGCUGAAGUACUUAAUGGUCGGUUUGGCCAAAACCAAGCUGAACCAAGAUCUUUCAGUUUGUCGGUUGGUUUAUUGGUUAAUCAAAG